rnacentral:rRNA from 1 species
AUUGAACGCUGGCGGCAGGCUUAACACAUGCAAGUCGAACGAGUGGCGGACGGGUGAGUAAUGUAUGGGAAUCUGGCUGAUGGAGGGGGAUAACUACGGGAAACGGUAGCUAAUACCGCAUACUAUAGGAUGAGCCCAUAUGGGAUUAGCUAGUUGGUGGGGUAAAGGCUCACCAAGGCGACGAUCUCUAGCUGGUCUGAGAGGAUGACCAGCCACACUGGGACUGAGACACGGCCCAGACUCCUACGGGAGGCAGCAGUGGGGAAUAUUGCACAAUGGGCGCAAGCCUGAUGCAGCCAUGCCGCGUGUAUGAAGAAGGCCUUCGGGUUGUAAAGCACUUUCAGCGAGGAGGCGUUACUCGCAGAAGAAGCACCGGCUAACUCCGUGCCAGCAGCCGCGGUAAUAC